rfam:Saccharophagus degradans 2-40, complete genome.
AACCCCGCCAGGCCCGGAAGGGAGCAACGGUAG